AUUGAACGCUGGCGGCAUGCUUUACACAUGCAAGUCGAACGGCAGCACGGGCUUCGGCCUGGUGGCGAGUGGCGAACGGGUGAGUAAUAUAUCGGAACGUACCCAGAAGUGGGGGAUAACGUAGCGAAAGUUACGCUAAUACCGCAUACGAUCUACGGAUGAAAGUGGGGGACCUUCGGGCCUCAUGCUUUUGGAGCGGCAGAUAUCUGAUUAGCGAGGUGGUGAGGUAAAGGCUCACCAAGGCGACGAUCAGUAGCCGGUCUGAGAGGACGACCAGCCACACUUGAACUGAGACACGGUCCAGACUCCUACGGGAGGCAGCAGUGGGGAAUUUUGGACAAUGGGCGCAAGCCUGAUCCAGCAAUGCCGCGUGAGUGAAGAAGGCCUUCGGGUUGUAAAGCUCUUUUGUCAGGGAAGAAACGGUAGGGGCUAAUAUCCUUUGCUAAUGACGGUACCUGAAGAAUAAGCACCGGCUAACUACGUGCCAGCCGCCGCCGUAA
rnacentral:rRNA from 1 species